rnacentral:misc_RNA from 1 species
AUCGAUAUCCUAGCUUUUGUUUGCCUUUGUAAUUUGCCAUUGUUUAUGGUAUUUUUGCAGAUAAGUUGUAAGAGAAAAGUAUCAGUGAAAGUGAAGUAGUCUACGGAAAUAAGCCAAGUUGCUGGUUAUGUUAUUCGUGUGUCCACGGGUGUCGAAAGCGAUCGAGAUGCUUCCAACGCGUCACUGCCCUGAGAUGGCGGCCCCGCGUGGCGGAGUGAAUUUCUGGAGUUGCCGUUCCGCGAGGACUACCUGAAAUACAUAGGAUGAAGAAUUCUGUAAUCAAUCAUUGGCUUCAAUGAAUGCUGAACUGAAGAUAUCAGGUACACACUACCCAUGUAUGCAUGCAUGGUGAAAUGAGGCAUUGAAAAGCUUCGGCCCGUCAAGUGAGUCACUGCCAGUAUUCUCAACAUAGCGUUUCCCUUUGAAUAAUCUUGGCUAAAGCCCAUUUCGUUCAGUGCAGCCUAGGCGGACACACCGCAAAACUUUUGCGUGUGGUUUUGUGUAUUCCAUUCUAAUAAGUCGCCAGCUAUCUAACAAUUCAAAUCUAAGAAAAUUUCAAAAUUCAAUUUGCACUGUGGUGUGCGGUGUUGCUGUGUCGCUGUGUUGAUGGGGGAGUGAACAACAAAAGCCCACCUCAUCUAGAAACUCCCUCGGUUUUGUCCCUUCUCAUCAUCAGGAGCCCUUGCCGAUGCGACGGCAAAGUGAACAAACAUUUCUGAAAACUUACUUGAAUAGAUUAUUAGGAAUUAUCAAAACUUAAUUUAGCUUAAGAGUGCUCAACGUAAAGGGGGCAGGGCAGGGCAGGCGGGCGGGCGAGACGUGGCAUGCGGGCAGCUAAUGAAUACCGCCCGAGUUCAGGAACAGGUGACAAACAAUCAGUGACUGCAGCACUUGAAAGGCGGCUUUUGAAGUGGUUGCCAUUGAGAAAACUUUUGACUUGAAAGAGGGGACUCCGACCUGGUCGGGGACGUUGUGGCCAUUGAUCUUGUCAUGUCUUUGUUGUGGACUCUGGUAAGUCCCCGACUAAGCGGCUUAGGGCACUCUGCGCUCGUGGAACUUAAAAGUUUAGCACAUGCGACUUAAGCGCUAAAAGAAAUAACAUCAACUGCUAGGCUGUCAUCACAGCGGGACUGCGUUUAUUAACUAGACUCGGAGAUGGACGCUGACAUGGACAUGAACACGGAGAGGAAUCGAUCUAAUGAGGCUGCCAGCUGGCGGCAGUGUCUGGGAUUGGCCGGGUCUGCCAUAUCCAGCUGUGUAAUCGGCUUCAAUUAAAUCAAGCCAAACGACACCGGCAAUUUGAACGUUCGCUUUUGUGCUCCCCACGGGCAUGGACAAGGAGCUUGCAGCUAAAUAGAAUCCAGCCAAUGUCGGAGUCGGAGUUGGAGUUGGAGUUGGAGUCAUGGCGACCUUUUAGCAGCGCUUCCUGCCGCUUCCCCCGUCCUGGCCAUUCACUCAAUCUGGCGUUAAUAACGUGGCACAAAAUUUACAAGGGAAGUGCAGAUGGAAAGAAUACUUGAGUUACCUUUACCUUGCCCUUGCCCUUAUUCCGAGUCGAUAAUCGCAAAGGAAAACGGAUGUCCAAUUAGUUGUGUGCCAGCUUCCGGCUCCAGCUCUUCCUGUGCACAUCCAGCUCAUCUUCGCCCGGUCUGAGCCUGUCAAUUGCAGCAGCUUCCAUUCGGAGUCGAGCCAAGUCGAUUGCCAGUUGGAGGCCAGGCGACGCACAGCCCCGCCCCGCCCGUCGUCAUUGUUGCCGGUUGGACGCCAAUGGCAUAAUUUUCAUAUUUGCUUGCCAGUCAAUUGCCAACAAUUUGCAUAGUUUGAUGUAUGCAUGUAUGUAUAUAUGGCUUAUCCCGGUCCCUAAUCAAUGCCUAUUUAUGUGCGAAAUCCGUUUGGCUUUGCCAGUGACGCGCUUAUCGCGCUGCAUGCUCGUCGGGCUAAAAAUUGAAUAAAGGAUUUAGGGCCUUAAAUUGGAGGUACAGCCGCCGACUUGCCACGUCAAAUGCCAGUGUCUCAGAGUGUGCGUGUUGUGACUCCACCAAGGAUCUCCACGCGUGUGUGUGUGUGACAGGAAGCCAAACAAAAGCAACAUGUGUAACUUGUAUGGCCUGGCAGCGUCAAAAGGCGAGAGGCUGGAAAAAUCUAUUAGAACGUGUCUUGCCUGCCAACCCGAUACUUCGUUACCCAUUCGCCCAGCCUCUGCUCCAUUUUCCCCGCUUAUAUUUCACCCGAGGGCAUAAUAAGCUUGCCUGCCACUUUUUCGAAGAGGAAAACCUCUCCGCCUCUCUGCCCCUCUGCUUUUCCUUUUCCCUUUCUUUUUUUUUUUAUUUAUUUCCACGUGCGUGUGUGUGCCUGAGAUAUUUACUUAUGAUUGAGUUGCGUGGCGCCAGAAGAGGAAACAUCGAGGGCACGCCACCCUCGAAACAAUUUGGUAAGAGAUUGCGGUUGCUUUACUGAUUUUCUCACCCAUUUUGUGUGCGCUUUCGCCCCAUUUUACCCGACCGUUCGUUUCCUCCCUCUUCCUGCUGCCGGCCUGCCGGCCCGCCUGCCAGCCAGAGUGUGUGUGAGAGAUGAAAAUUUAAAUUGAUUUUGCAUUGUUUGACUGUCAUUGUUGUUGCCCUCAUCGCCGGGCUGUUGGCUGUUGUUUUUCUGUUUUUUGUUGUUGUUUUUUGUAUAUGGUGGUUCUCGAUAAAAACGAAGCUCUGGUUCUACAUGGGUGGAAAAUUAUUAUAAAUUUCAAUUUGUGCAUCAUAAACGUAACACCGAAUUCUUUUCGGGAUUCCCCUAACCGAUUCCCUUUGUUGGCUAGCCAGCUGGACAGUACUGUUGCCUUUUGGGAUGAUCUUUCAUACCAAGAGGUAUCACUAUACGAGAAGGUACGAUUACGGGUAAAAUACGCAGCCUAAAUAACAGAAUGGAGAUUAAGUGCGCUGACUAUUGCUGUCAUGCCGGAUUUGAUUGGAAAUAUUCAGUCUUGGCUCGGACUUGCUCUCUGUUCGUAUUUUCCGGGUUGAGAGGCUUGACUGCACUGGGAAUUGUAGGUGUUUCUUCAAAGAACUUCGGGAGGCCUUGUAUCCACACUCUACAGACAGCCAUGGAUAGCGGAUCUACAAAUUCAAGGCCUUGGACACGUCAAUUAUCCAAAUGGCUUAUGCUUUUCUGAUAUUCUCGGAGAUCCAAGGUCUUGCCAGACGUUUCCCCAGAGCUUUGAUCUGCCUGGAAUUGUACUCCCCUCUUCUUCGAUAUGGCUUGACUCACCCCAGCAUUGUGAUGCGCUUUGUUUAUGUGCGACCCAAGAAUCAUUUGUUUUUAUAUGAAAUUGUUUUACGCUGUGGCAGCGAUCAACCCUGCGUCUGCCCCGCUCUCUGAUUACAACUACAAAACUGA